CAGUAGCCGCGGGAAUACGUAGGGUGCAAGCGUUAAUCGGAAUUACUGGGCGUAAAGCGUGCACAGGCGGCUAUGCAAGACAGAUGUGAAAUCCCCGGGCUCAACCUGGGAACUGCAUUUGUGACUGCACGGCUAGAGUACGGUAGAGGGGGAUGGAAUUCCGCGUGUAGCAGUGAAAUGCGUAGAUAUGCGGAGGAACACCGAUGGCGAAGGCAAUCCCCUGGACCUGUACUGACGCUCAUGCGCGAAAGCUAGGGGAGCGAACGGGAUUAGAUACCCCGGUAGUCCCUGUCUCUUAUAC
rnacentral:rRNA from 1 species